rnacentral:rRNA from 1 species
UACGUAGGGUGCAAGCGUUGUCCGGAAUUAUUGGGCGUAAAGAGCUCGUAGGCGGUCUGUCGCGUCUGCUGUGAAAACUCGGGGCUUAACCCCGGGCCUGCAGUGGGUACGGGCAGACUAGAGUGCGGUAGGGGAGACUGGAAUUCCUGGUGUAGCGGUGAAAUGCGCAGAUAUCAGGAGGAACACCGGUGGCGAAGGCGGUUCUCUGGGCCUGUUCUGACGCUGAGGAGCGAAAGCGUGGGGAGCAAACAGG